CGUAAUAUGGUGUACGUAGUAGUACUAUCAGCCAGACAACUAACUUCCCCACCAGACAUACCUAGAAAUAGUUUGAUUGAAUUAGUCACAUGCAUAAAUAUAAUUCCAUUCAUUCAAUUAAUCAAUUCAAGAAAUAAUAUCCAUAAAAUAAUUAUCCAUAAUUCAAAACAAACCAAAACCAAAUAAAUUGUUCCAAAUACUUCAAAAAAUUGUCC
rnacentral:lncRNA from 1 species